rnacentral:rRNA from 1 species
AUUGAACGCUGGCGGCAGGCCUAACACAUACAAGUCGAGCGGAUGAAGGGAGCUUGCUCCUGGAUUCAGCGGCGGACGGGUGAGUAAUGCCUAGGAAUCUGCCUGGUAGUGGGGGAUAACGUCCGGAAACGGGCGCUAAUACCGCAUACGUCCUGAGGGAGAAAGUGGGGGAUCUUCGGACCUCACGCUAUCAGAUGAGCCUAGGUCGGAUUAGCUAGUUGGUGGGGUAAAGGCCUACCAAGGCGACGAUCCGUAACUGGUCUGAGAGGAUGAUCAGUCACACUGGAACUGAGACACGGUCCAGACUCCUACGGGAGGCAGCAGUGGGAAAUAUUGGACAAUGGGCGAAAGCCUGAUCCAGCCAUGCCGCGUGUGUGAAGAAGGUCUUCGGAUUGUAAAGCACUUUAAGUUGGGAGGAAGGGCAGUAAGUUAAUACCUUGCUGUUUUGACGUUACCAACAGAAUAAGCACCGGCUAACUUCGUG